AUUGAACGCUGGCGGCAUGCUUUACACAUGCAAGUCGAACGGUAACAGGCUGCUAGGUGCUGACGAGUGGCGAACGGGCGGGUAAUGCAUCGGAACGUGCCCAGCCGUGGGGGAUAACUACUCUUAAGAGUAGCUAAUACCGCAUCCGAUCUAUGGAUGAAAGCGGGGGACCGUAAGGGCUCGCGCGAUUGGAGGGGCCGAUGCCGGAUUAGGUAGUUGUUGGGGUAAAGGCUCACCAAGCCAACGAGCUGUAGCUGGUCUGAGCGGACGACCAGCCACACUGGAACGUGGACACGGCCCUUGCUCCUGCGGUAGGCAGCAGUGGGGAAUGUUGGGCAAUGGUCGCAAGCCUGAUCCAGCGAUGCCACGCGCAGGAAGGAGGCCUCCGGGUUGUAAACUGCUUUUGUGCGGAACAAAACGGCUCUGGUUAAGACCCGGGGCGAAUGACGGUACCGUAAGAAUAAGCACCGGCUAACUACGUG
rnacentral:rRNA from 1 species